rnacentral:rRNA from 1 species
GACGAACGCUGGCGGCGUGCCUAAUACAUGCAAGUCGAGCGCAGGAAACUGACGGAACUCUUCGGAGGGAAGGCAGUGGAAUGAGCGGCGGACGGGUGAGUAACACGUAAGGAACCUGCCUCAAGGAUUGGGAUAACUCCGAGAAAUCGGAGCUAAUACCGGAUAGUUCAACGGACCGCAUGGUCCGCUGAUGAAAGGCGCUCCGGCGUCACCUUGAGAUGGCCUUGCGGUGCAUUAGCUAGUUGGUGGGGUAACGGCCCACCAAGGCGACGAUGCAGAGCCGACCUGGGAGGGUGAUCGGCCACACUGGGACUGAGACACGGCCCAGACUCCUACGGGAGGCAGCAGUAGGGAAUCUUCCACAAUGGACGAAAGUCUGAUGGAGCAACGCCGCGUGAGUGAUGAAGGUUUUCGGAUCGUAAAACUCUGUUGUAAGGGAAGAACACGUACGAGAGGAAAUGCUCGUACCUUGACGGUACCUUACGAGAAAGCCACGGCUAACUACGUGCCAGCCGCCGCCGUAA